UGGCUGAUGUAUCACCAGAAGCAAUCAAUGAGUUUAUAUAAAAUGUUCAUGAUCGAGGUCUAAUUUGCCAGAAAUUUUUUCAGUAAGUCAAAAUAUGGCUGAAGUAACAUCAGAGUAAAUCAAAGAAUAUGUAUUGAAAGUUUAUGAUUGAGUAUUCUUGGGACAGAAAUAUGUUCAUCAGGUCAAAAAUGGACAACAAUAUGGCUGAUGUGACAUCAGAGUAAGGCAAUAUGUAUUUAUAUUGUUCAUUAUCGAUAUAUAAUGGCUGAUGAAUCAUCAGCGUGAGGCUAUGAGUAUCUACAGAAAAUUCAUGAUCAAGGACUAAUUUGCCAGAAAUGUGUUCAGCAGGUCAAAUAUGUGCUCAUAUAUUGCUGAAGUAACAUCAGAAUGAUUCCAUGAGUUUAUAUAAAAAGACCAUCAUUGAGGUCUAAUUUGCCAUAAAAAAUUUUUCAGUAGGUCAAAAUGGUUUCAUAUAUGGCUGAAGUAACAUCAAAGUGAGGCAGGGAGUAUGAAUAGAAAGUUCAUCAUCGAGUACUCUUGGGUCAGAAAAAUGUUUAGUAGGGUUAAUCUGUUCUUCUGAAUGGCAGAAAUAAAAUCAGAAGGAGUCAAUGAAUCUAGAAAGAAAGUUCAAAAUCGUGUACUCUUGGCCAGAAAUAGGUUCAGUAAGUCAUAUAUGGUCUUCCAUAUGGCUGAUUUGACAUAAGAAGGUGUCAAUGAGUAUAUAAAGACAGUUCAAGAUUGUCGACAAAUUUGCCAGAAAUGCGUUCAAGUAGGUCUAAUAUGGACUUCUGAAU